rnacentral:rRNA from 1 species
AAAUCCGCUUUGAUAAUGCUGGGAUGUGAUGGGGAGCGAAAUUUAGUAGCGAAGUAGCUGAUUUCACACUGUCAAGAAAAGUCUCUAUCGAGGUUAAAGGUACCCGUACCGAAAACCGACACAGGUGGGUGAGGAGAGUAUCCUAAGGCCAGCGAGAGAACUGUUGUUAAGGAACUCGGCAAAAUGACCCCGUAACUUAGGGAUAAGGGGUGCCACCAUCAGGUGG